rnacentral:rRNA from 1 species
UACAGGGGGGGCGAACGUUGUUCGGAAUUACUGGGCGUAAAGCGUGUGUAGGCGGCUUUCUAAGUCGGGGGUGAAAUCCUGGAGCUCAACUCCAGAACUGCCUUCGAUACUGGAGAGCUUGAGUCCGGGAGAGGUGAGUGGAACUGCGAGUGUAGAGGUGAAAUUCGUAGAUAUUCGCAAGAACACCAGUGGCGAAGGCGGCUCACUGGCCCGGUACUGACGCUGAGGCACGAAAGCGUGGGGAGCAAACAGG